rnacentral:rRNA from 1 species
UACGGAGGGUGCAAGCGUUAAUCGGAAUUACUGGGCGUAAAGGGCUCGUAGGCGGCCAACUAAGUCAUACGUGAAAUCCCUCGGCUUAACCGGGGAACUGCGUCUGAUACUGGAUGGCUUGAGUUCGGGAGAGGGAUGCGGAAUUCCAGGUGUAGCGGUGAAAUGCGUAGAUAUCUGGAGGAACACCGGUGGCGAAGGCGGCAUCCUGGACCGAUACUGACGCUGAGGAGCGAAAGCCAGGGGAGCAAACGGG